CCUACGGGAGGCAGCAGUGAGGAAUAUUGGUCAAUGGACGAGAGUCUGAACCAGCCAAGUAGCGUGAAGGAUGACUGCCCUAUGGGUUGUAAACUUCUUUUAUAUGGGAAUAAAAUGUUCCACGUGUGGGAUUUUGUAUGUACCAUAUGAAUAAGGAUAGGCUAACUCCGUGCCAGCAGCCGCGGUAAUACGGAGGAUCCGAGCGUUAUCCGGAUUUAUUGGGUUUAAAGGGAGCGUAGGUGGAUUGUUAAGUUCGGUGUGAAAGGUUGCGGCUCAAACGUAAAAUUGCAGUUGAAACUGGCAGUCUUGAGUACAGUAGAGGUGGGCGGAAUUCGUGGUGUAGCGGUGAAAUGCUUAGAUAUCACGAAGAACUCCGAUUGCGAAGGCAGCUCACUGGACUGCAACUGACACUGAGGCUCGAAAGUGUGGGUAGCAAACAGGAUUAGAUACCCCAGUAGUC
rnacentral:rRNA from 1 species